AGUGAACGCUGGCGGUAGGCCUAACACAUGCAAGUCGAACGGCAGCACAGUAAGAGCUUGCUCUUACGGGUGGCGAGUGGCGGACGGGUGAGGAAUACAUCGGAAUCUACUUUUUCGUGGGGGAUAACGUAGGGAAACUUACGCUAAUACCGCAUACGACCUACGGGUGAAAGCAGGGGAUCUUCGGACCUUGCGCGAUUGAAUGAGCCGAUGUCGGAUUAGCUAGUUGGCGGGGUAAAGGCCCACCAAGGCGACGAUCCGUAGCUGGUCUGAGAGGAUGAUCAGCCACACUGGAACUGAGACACGGACCAGACUACUACGGGAGGCAGCAGUGGGGAAUAUUGGACAAUGGGCGCAAGCAUGAUCCAGCCAUACCGCGUGGGUGAAGAAGGCCUUCGGGUUGUAAAGCCCUUUUGUUGGGAAAGAAAAGCAGCAGGUUAAUACCCCGCUGUUCUGACGGUACCCAAAGAAUAAGCACCGGCUAACUUCGUG
rnacentral:rRNA from 1 species